rnacentral:rRNA from 1 species
UGGGAAUGGCGCGUGCUAAUACAUGCAAGUCGAGCGGACAGAUGGGAGCUUGCUCCCUGAUGUUAGCGGCGGACGGGUGAGUAACACGUGGGUAACCUGCCUGUAAGACUGGGAUAACUCCGGGAAACCGGGGCUAAUACCGGAUGCUUGUUUGAACCGCAUGGUUCAAACAUAAAAGGUGGCUUCGGCUACCACUUACAGAUGGACCCGCGGCGCAUUAGCUAGUUGGUGAGGUAACGGCUCACCAAGGCAACGAUGCGUAGCCGACCUGAGAGGGUGAUCGGCCACACUGGGACUGAGACACGGCCCAGACUCCUACGGGAGGCAGCAGUAGGGAAUCUUCCGCAAUGGACGAAAGUCUGACGGAGCAACGCCGCGUGAGUGAUGAAGGUUUUCGGAUCGUAAAGCUCUGUUGUUAGGGAAGAACAAGUACCGUUCGAAUAGGGCGGUACCUUGACGGUACCUAACCAGAAAGCCACGGCUAACUACGUGCCAGCAGCCGCGGUAAUACGUAGGUGGCAAGCGUUGUCCGGAAUUAUUGGGCGUAAAGGGCUCGCAGGCGGUUUCUUAAGUCUGAUGUGAAAGCCCCCGGCUCAACCGGGGGAGGGUCAUUGGGAAACUGGGGAACUUUGAGUGCAGAAAGAGAGAGUGGAAAUUCCACGUGUAGCGGGUGAAAUGCGUAGAGAUGUGGAGGAAACACCAGUGGCGAAAGCGACUCUCUGGGUCUGUAACUGACGCUGAGAGCGAAAGCGUGGGGAGCGACAAGGAUUAGAAUACCCUGGUAGUCCACGCCGUAACGAUGAGUGCCUGAGUGUUAGGGGGAGUUUCCGCUCCUAACUGCCUGCCAGCCUUAUGCAUUAGUCACUUCGGACUGGCAGGUACGGUUCGCAGACUGAUACUCAAAGGACUGACUAGGCGCUAGCACAGAG